UUUCAUCUUUCCAACUUCCACAAUGACCUUCCUUACUAGUAAGUUUAGUGGUUGGUGAACUACAGUUUCAUGCAUCAAACACAUCGUACAUGAAUGACUCACUACUGAUUGAAGAACUAUAAAUUUUGAUCCUAUUACUGUCACAGGUUUUAAUGCACACCAAUAAAACUGAUUCCUGUUUUUACUCCUUUUCCUUCAACUACAACCCAUGUGCAACAAUGAGGAUUCUUCUUCCCAGCCCAUUGCUAUCUGUCUAGGAUUGUGGUCAGGUAUACAUGAGAUCAGUUCCCUAUUUUGAAGUAUUAGCCUGCUACCCCUGCAGGAAAUACCAUCACAUUUAGUCACAUACUUUACUUUCUGUAACCUUUUGGAAUUCUUUUUUGUACUAAGCGUGACGUUUGCCAACCAGCAUCCCGCUGUGACUGACGGAUAUGCAUUUAUAUUCUAUUUUUGUUUCAGAAGUUUAUAACAACAACGACUGCAAACACAUUACAUAGAUCUCAAAUUAAGGCUGCCUCAGAGUGCUUGCUUAGCCAAAGAGGGAUUUAUAAAUUGUAUGGGUAAUGAAAACAUGCAACAGACAUGCAGAAGUACAAACAUGUACAGAGAUAAUGCUUAAUGAUCUAGUAGAAGUAGUUAUGAUAUCAAAAGCAUAUGUUCAUAUUUAAUACUGGGAAAGAAAAGAAACUCCAGGAGAAUCACAGCAUAUCCUAGAAUCUUUAUCCUAUGGCACUGGUGCAAGGUCACCAGCAUACACAGCAAGUUCCCAAACAUUUCAGCACUAAGGAUUUGCUCUGUGAGAACAGUCAUGAAGAAUUUAUAAGUGUGCUAAAACAGAUUUUAUGCUACGUGUGCUGAAUCUUCUCCUCAAAUGCCAUUAAGACACAUUCGCCUCCCUCAUGCAUCUGAGAGGCACUCCCCACUGGAGGAGGACUGACUGCAGGAGAGACAUUACCUUCUUGAACAUUCUGGUGGAGUCUUCGCUUAUCUGCAUGAAGCGCAUGAUCACAUUGUUCAGGAUUCUCAUACAGUCAAAAGGAUCAAGCAUGUGGAGAUAAAACAGCCAGAGGUGGCAGUGAAUUGAGGGAGAAACUCCUCCAGCUCUUGGUUUCGGGAAUACUCCAUCUCUAUUUCCGACUUCUUGCGGAAGAAAUCCUGCAGAUCCUGAAGGAGCUGCACUCUCAUUUCAGUCUGCUGCUCCAGGCAUUUCUGCUGCUCUAUGAGUUGAGCUCGGAUCUCUAAUA